rnacentral:rRNA from 1 species
AGUUGGAAACGACUGUUAAUACCGCAUAAUAUCUGUGGAUUAAAGGUGGCUUUCGGGCUGUCGCAGAUGGAUGAGCCUGCGUUGGAUUAGCUAGUUGGUGGGGUAAGGGCCCACCAAGGCUACGAUCCAUAGCUGAUUUGAGAGGAUGAUCAGCCACAUUGGGACUGAGACACGGCCCAAACUCCUACGGGAGGCAGCAGUGGGGAAUAUUGGACAAUGGGGGCAACCCUGAUCCAGCAAUGCCAUGUGUGUGAAGAAGGCCCUAGGGUUGUAAAGCACUUUAGUUGGGGAGGAAAGCCUCAAGGUUAAUAGCCUUGGGGAGGACGUUACCCAAAGAAUAAGCACCGGCUAACUCCGUGCCAGCAGCCGCGGUAAUACGGGGGGUGCAAGCGUUAAUCGGAAUUACUGGGCGUAAAGGGUCUGUAGGUGGUCUGUUAAGUCAGAUGUGAAAGCCCAGGGCUCAACCUUGGAACUGCAUUUGAUACUGGCAAACUAGAGUACGGUAGAGGAAUGGGGAAUUUCUGGUGUAGCGGUGAAAUGCGUAGAGAUCAGAAGGAACACCAAUGGCGAAGGCAACAUUCUGGACCGAUACUGACACUGAGGGACGAAAGCGUGGGGAUCAAACAGGAUUAGAUACCCUGGUAGUCCACGCUAUAAACGAUGAGUACUAGCUGUUGGAGUCGGUGUAAAGGCUCUAGUGGCGCAGCUAACGCGAUAAGUACUCCGCCUGGGGACUACGGCCGCAAGGCUAAAACUCAAAGGAAUUGACGGGGACCCGCACAAGCGGUGGAGCAUGUGGUUUAAUUCGAUGCAACGCGAAGAACCUUACCUGGUCUUGACAUCCUGCGAACUUUCUAGAGAUAGAUUGGUGCCUUCGGGAACGCAGUGACAGGUGCUGCACGGCUGUCGUCAGCUCGUGUUGUGAAAUGUUGGGUUAAGUCCCGCAACGAGCGCAACCCCUAUUGAUAGUUACCAUCAUUAGGUUGGGUACUCUAUUGAGACUGCCGCUGACAAGGCGGAGGAAGGUGGGGACGACGUCAAGUCAUCAUGGCCCUUACGACCAGGGCUACACACGUGCUACAAUGGGUAUUACAGAGGGCUGCGAAGGUGCGAGCUGGAGCGAAACUCAAAAAGGUACUCUUAGUCCAAGG